UACAGAGGGUGCAAGCGUUAAUCGGAAUUACUGGGCGUAAAGCGUGCGUAGACGGUCAUGUAAGUCGGGUGUGAAAGCCCCGGGCUCAACCUGGGAAUUGCAUUCGAGACUGCAUGGCUAGGGUGCGGAAGAGGGAAGCGGAAUUUCCGGUGUAGCGGUGAAAUGCGUAGAUAUCGGAAGGAACACCAGUGGCGAAAGCGGCUUCCUGGUCCAGCACCGACGUUCAGGCACGAAAGCGUGGGGAGCAGACAGG
rnacentral:rRNA from 1 species